rnacentral:misc_RNA from 1 species
UUUAUACAUGUUCAUGUUUUUGAAUGUUUUAUUCAAAUAAUGUAAAAAAUAAAAUAGAUAUUGACAUGGAUUGAACAAAAGAUAUAUAUUAUUUUAUGUUGCAUAAACAAAUUGGCAAAAUAGAGAUGGAAGAUAAAAAUAUGGUCAAAGUAAUAAGAGUCUAUGGUGAAUGCCUAGGAGCUUUAAGGCGAAGAAGGUCGUGGUAAGCUGCGAAAAGCUUGGGGGAGAAGCAAACAUUUAUUGAUCCCAAGAUUACCGAAUGGAGUAAUCC